rnacentral:rRNA from 1 species
AGUUGUUGCAAUUUAUAUAAAAUAUAAGCUCGUAGUUGGACUUCUGUUGUAUAAUUUUAUAAUAUUACCAAGGUAAUUAUUAUAUUAUCAACAUCCUUCCUAUUAUAUUAUAUUCUAAAUAUAUAGGAAAUUUUACUUUGAGAAAAUUAGAGUGCUUAAAGCAGGCAUAUGCCUUGAAUACUCCAGCAUGGAAUAAUAUUAAAGAUUUUUAUCUUUCUUAUUGGUUCUAAGAUAAGAAUAAUGAUUAAUAGGGACAGUUGGGGGCAUUUGUAUUUAACAGUCAGAGGUGAAAUUCUUAGAUUUGUUAAAGACAAACUAAUGCGAAAGCAUUUGCCAAGGAUGUUUUUCAUUAAUCAAGAACGAAAGUUAGGGGAUCGAAGACGAUCAGAUACCGUCGUAGUCUUAACCAUAAACUAUGCCAACUAGAGAUUGGAGGUUGUUCCUUACUCCUUCAGCACCUUA